rnacentral:rRNA from 1 species
GUACACGCUGUGACUAGCAUAUCAAUAAGCGGAGGAAAAGAAACUAACAAGGAUUCCCCUAGUAACGGCGAGUGAAGCGGGAAGAGCUCAAAUUUGAAAUCUUAAAGGGUUUCCCUUUACGAAUUGUAGUUUAAAGAAGUGUUUUCUGUUGAGGUUUUGGUAAAAGUUCUUUGGAAUAGGACAUCAUAGAGGGUGAGAAUCCCGUAUUUGACCUUUACUUUCAACUUCGUGAUACACUUUCAAAGAGUCGGAUUGUUUGGGAAUGCAGUCCAAAAUGGGUGGUAAAUUUCAUCUAAAGCUAAAUAUUGGCGAGAGACCGAUAGCGAACAAGUACCGUGAGGGAAAGAUGAAAAGAACUUUGAAAAGAGAGUUAAACAGUACGUGAAAUUGUCAAAAGGGAAGCGUUUGACACCAGUGUUGUUUUUCUGAAAAUCAAUUAAAGAACUGUUUAUGCUAAGCUGUUUAGACUUUAUCAGCUAUACUGUUUAGUUUUGAGCUUUUCUUUAAUGCACUUUUCAGUUAACAAGUCAACAUCAAUUUCUUUUGCUGUAAAAAAGCUUGAGGAAGGUGGCUUGAGAUUCGUCUUAAGUGUUUAUAGCCUCUUGCCUAUGCAGUCGGAGAGAUUGAGGUCUGCAGCGUAGAUCCUUCGGGGCUAAAUGCAUUUGUGCUAAGUUAUAGCAUUUUAUAGACAACUUGUUGACUACUGAUUUGUCUUGUAGCUUACUCGCUUAUGUUAUUUUACCUACGCUUAGGAUGUUGACGCGCGUGUGUGCGUG